rnacentral:rRNA from 1 species
GACGAACGCUGGCGGCGUGCUUAACACAUGCAAGUCGAACGGUGAAGCGCCUUCCUUUUUGGUGGGUGUGGAUGAGUGGCGAACGGGUGAGUAACACGUGAGUAACCUGCCCCCUUCUUCUGGAUAACCGCAUGAAAGUGUGGCUAAUACGGGAUAUUCUGGGUCUGUCGCAUGAUGGGUCUGGGAAAGAUAUUGUUUCGGUGGUGGAUGGGCUCGCGGCCUAUCAGCUUGUUGGUGGGGUGAUGGCCUACCAAGGCGGUGACGGGUAGCCGGCCUGAGAGGGUGGACGGUCACACUGGGACUGCGACACGGCCAAGACUCCUACGGGAGGCAGCAGUGGGGAAUAUUGCACAAUGGGCGCAAGCAUGAUGCAGCGACGCCGCGUGAGGGAUGGAGGCCUGCGGGUUGUGAACCUCUUUCGCCAGUGAAGCAGGCCUGCCUCGUUUGUGGGUGGGUUGACGGUAGCUGGAUAAGAAGCGCCGGCUAACUACGUG